CCGGCACUCGACGCCGACACCGCCCAGGGGCAGCAGCACAGAGCGGCCGCCAGCGCCACACAAAGACGGGCCGCGCCCAGCAGCAUCUUCCAAGCGGCAGCGAGCUGAAGCCAAGGGGUCAGAUCCGCCCCGCACGAGCAUUUGCCCCCUCCGGGUAACGGGAGACGCUGGUUAAACAUACAACGGAGAUCAAAGGCCAGUGCAGCGCCAAGCUGCCGAAAACCGUUUGCCAAAGAAGUUCUCCAGGAUGCUUCCUUCCAUCUCCAAAGUCCAUGCCAUGGUAAUCCUUUCUACGGCCAAGGAGUUCUGGGCAUGGUUUUGUCUGGACUUCAUCAAUGUUGCUCCAAGGGUUGGCCAGGAGAGGGCAUUAACGAGCGAUUUAAGGCAGGCCUUCUUCUGAAUGGGCUAAACGUUUUGUUUCAGCCGUGAUCCCAUGAGCUGCCAACCUAAGAAGCAAGGGGCUGGACUCAGUCCUGAUUUCAGGUCCCCUGUUUCCUGAUUUACUUUUGUACUAGACUUAUUAUAUAAGUGCUUUUCAAACAGCCCUGGAUAGAGGAUGGAAUAAAUACUCUCUCGUUUAAAAGCACAAAUACAUGUCAGAGUACAGAGAUAGGUGAACAAAAUGCCCUUAAAUAUGGAUGGUACAGGUUGCUCACUUUGGGCUAGAUUGUGACUUGGACAACAAACCCAUACAAGAGAGUGAGAAAUCCCCUCUUACACCUUAAUGCAGGUUACUCAGGUCUUGGGAGUAAGUGGGGUUAACUCACUUGCUUCCUCCCUACCAGAAGCAAGUGGAGAAGGGGCGAGAAAAAGUUAGACCACUUGCUCAAUAGCCAGAAUAGCUGAACCAGCACAAUGUGAGAAGUAAUUUACUGCUGGCUUAUUACCCCCAAGAACAAGAAAGAAGCUGUGACUCCCUGCUGUGUCUCGCUGAGUGACAAUAUUUCCCAAGGUUAGUGCAGUUUACGUACCACGUAGGGCUGUGCCUAAAGUCACAAUCUAGCCCUGUCUCGUGGGGGAAAUUCAUCCAACACCAGUGGUAGAUUCAGACCCAUCUUGACAGUUAAAUUUUCACUAUCCUACAGAAAAAAAGCAUUUUAUAGAGCUAGCAAACGGAAGUGUUGUACAAUCUAUAUUCUCAAAGAGUCUUUUCUAACUUAUUUGCACAUCUUUAGACUAUUAUGCAUGAUAAAUUUGGACAAGUAUCAAUAUAACAAACAAUAUCCAUCCUAUUUUGGAACUUUAUGAAGAAAAGGGCAUAAUGAAGCUAUUGUGUAUUUUUGAUAAAUAUAACAAAGCUAUGGUGAGGACAGUCCAGGGCCCUAUGAUCCUUGGUGUCUUUCUCUGUAGCUGGGGAGGCUGGGUGUAUAGCCAGUGUGUUUGUCACUGUGUGGAUCCUCUGGAUAAAAUCAUUGCAUAGAAGGUGAACAUGGGCAGCAGAUAGUUCUACAGCCCCUGAUGAUAUGAUUCUGCUCCUUCCAACCCCCAUGGAUAGCCCAGGUGGAAAGUCCAUUACUUGAGCUUUGUGCAGCAGACCAGGAUUUGUCCCUUAAAUAUUAUUUGAUUGCAGUUUUGUGAAAUAAACAAAGAGCUUCAAUUCAAUAAUAAAUACAAAUAAAUCAGUAAAAUAGAAAAAUGGUAACACUCCACUAAUGUCUAAAAAAGUUUCUAAUAGAUGUAGUUUUUAAUUGGUAAUUAUGAGAGAUAAUUGCAGUGGCUAAGAGUUAUGUGGAAUGCAGAAUUAAUACACAUUAUUUAAGGGAAGAUUAGGGUUUGAUAUGUUGAAAGAAAUAUUUUAUCAGUAUAUUCAAACACAGGAUGACAUUUUCAGCACAAAUUAUGCAUCACAUAAAAAAUGAAUGACUAUAAUUUAUAAUUGAACAACAGACCGCAUAUGGUUUGGAAAGGUAGAAGAAAUUGCAGAAUUUUGUUCAAAAGCUAGUACAAAUCUGAAAGAUUUUGUGUGUUUUGAAAUUAUUUAAUACAGAGGUUUUUGUAAAUUAAUUUUGAAGUUACAUUAAACAGCCAUCAAAGAAAUAUAUGGGAAUAGUAUUUUCAGUAGCAAGACCUUGAGUAAUGAGACAUUGUACACAAAUUUCUGUACCUUCAGCAAGAGUAGUUUAUAAGACUAAAUGUAUGUAUUCCUCUGAUGUACAGUCAUCUAGGGAUAUUUAAAAUACUUAAUAUUUAAAAACUGUAAACAUGUAAUAUUGUGAAAUAUUAUGUAGUUCUGCAUAGAUUUUUAAGUUAUUGUAUAUUUAAGGUGUGAAUAUUUUUAUAGGACAUGUGUUAUGUAAGAAAAUAUCAAUGUAUUUAAAAAUGAAUAUGUUCUUUAUAAAAGUUCAGUGGCCAAAAGUAAGAUUCAAAUUUGUUAUAUUGCUUUGAAUUUAAAGUUUUUACAUGAGGACUGAAAAAGAAACUUGGAUAGGCUUAAUUUGGAGUGAGCAAGAAUAAGGGUAGACCUGAUAGAUAUAUUCCCAGUAAAGAAUGGUCUAGUUAAGAUGAAACAAUUGCUAGCUGCUUCUUGUCUAUAAUGCUAUAUCUGGAGCAG